rnacentral:lncRNA from 1 species
UUUAUGCAACUUCCCCAUUCGGUUUACAUCUUUAGUUAGUUAAUGUUUUUUUUUUUUGUUAAAGAAAUUUGGUUUAGGGAACGUGUCCCUAUCAGAGAUGUUUUUUUUUUUUUGCCAAGAAUAUAAAUAUCAUUUCAAAAGUGAAAAAAAGAAUUAAAAAUAGUAAUUAACUAAAUCCCAGACCUCUAGAUUUGAUUACAUGAUAAAAGAAGGUAAAAAUAUGAAAAUAAAAGACAAACGAUAAUUCGUCCGUUUUACUUGGUAACGAACAUGAAAUAAAUAAUUGAUACAAACUUAAAACACAUUUGAAUGAAG